UACGGAGGGGGCAAGCGUUGUUCGGAAUCAUUGGGCGUAAAGGGCGCGUAGGCGGUCGAUCAAGUCGGGUGUGAAAUCCCUCGGCUCAACCGAGGAAUUGCAUUCGAUACUGAUUGGCUAGAGUUCGAGAGGGGGUAGCGGAAUUCCCAGUGUAGCGGUGAAAUGCGUAGAUAUUGGGAAGAACACCGGUGGCGAAGGCGGCUACCUGGAUCGAUACUGACGCUGAGGCGCGAAAGCCAGGGGAGCGAAUGGG
rnacentral:rRNA from 1 species